ACACAUGCAAGUCGAACGGUAACAGCAGAGCUUGCUCUGGCUGACGAGUGGCGGACGGGUAAGUAACGGGUAGGAAUCUACCCAGUAGUGGGGGGCAACUUGGAGAAAUCCGGAUUAAUACCGCAUAAGCCCUACGGGGGAAAAGAGGCCUCUUCUUGAAAGCUUUCGCUAUUAGAUGAGCCUGCGUUAGAUUAGCUUGUUGGUAGGGUAAUGGCCUACCAAGGCGACGAUCUAUAGCUGGUCUGAGAGGAUGAUCAGCCACACUGGGACUGAGACACGGCCCAGACUCCUACGGGAGGCAGCAGUAGGGAGUAUUGGACAAUGGGCGCAAGCCUGAUCCAGCAAUGCCGCGUGUGUGAAGAAGGCCUGCGGGUUGUAAAGCACUUUCAAUUGGGAAGAAAGAUUUAGAGUUAAUACCUCUUAAUAUUGACGUUACCAAUAGAAGAAGCACCGGCUAACUCUGUGCCAGCAGCCGCGGUAAUACAGAGGGUGCGAGCGUUAAUCGGAAUUACUGGGCGUAAAGAGUACGUAGGUGGUUAGAUAAGUUGGAUGUGAAAGCCCUGGGCUCAACCUAGGAACUGCAUUCAAAACUGUCUAACUAGAGUAUGGUAGAGGGAAGUGGAAUUUCAGGUGUAGCGGUGAAAUGCGUAGAUAUCUGAAGGAACACCAGUGGCGAAGGCGACUUCCUGGACCAAUACUGACACUGAGGUGCGAAAGCGUGGGUAGCAAACGGGAUUAGAUACCCCGGUAGUCCACGCCGUAAACGAUGUCAACUAGUUGUUGGGAGAAUUUAUCUCUUAGUGACGCAGCUAACGUAUUAAGUUGACCGCCUGGGGAGUACGGUCGCAAGACUAAAACUCAAAGGAAUUGACGGGGGCCCGCACAAGCGGUGGAGCAUGUGGUUUAAUUCGAUGCAAUGCGAAGAACCUUACCUACCCUUGACAUACAGAGAACUUUCCAGAGAUGGAUUGGUGCCUUCGGGAGCUCUGAUACAGGUGCUGUAUGGCUGUCGUCAGCUCGUGUCGUGAGAUGUUGGGUUAAGUCCCGUAAUGAGCGCAACCCUUAUCCUUAGUUGCUACCAUUUAGUUGGGCACUCUAAGGAGACUGCCGGUGAUAAACCGGAGGAAGGUGGGGAUGACGUCAAGUCAUCAUGGCCCUUAUGGGCUGGGCUACACACGUGCUACAAUGGCAAGUACAGAGGGUCGCAAACUCGCGAGAGUAAGCUAAUCCCACAAAGCUUGUCUUAGUCCGGAUUGGAGUCUGCAACUCGACUCCAUGAAGUCGGAAUCGCUAGUAAUCGUAGAUCAGAAUGCUACGGUGAAUACGUUCCCGGGCCUUGUACACACCGCCCGUCACACCAUGGGAGUGGGUUGCAAAAUAAGUGGGUAGCUUAACAAUGGGGAAGUCGCUUACCACGGU
rnacentral:rRNA from 1 species